rnacentral:lncRNA from 1 species
CUGGGUCAACAUGCCAUACAUGUUCCUUCCCACCCCUAUAGCAGAUAACUGCUAAUCAAUCACAACCCUCUUCCUACUGUGAGUCUUCCUGGGUAAGAGCUCAGGCUUCUCAGUGCAGAGCUUCAGGCAGCUAUUCCAAUGGUUUGUACCUGACAUGCAAGAUAACUAUUUGUUCUUUUAAACCUAAGUACUAAGCCAGGCAUGGUGGGACUCACCUGUAAUCCCAUAGACUUGAGAGACUGAGGCAGGAGGAUCAUGAGUUUGAUUCCAGUCUUGGCAAUCUAGAGCAACUCUGUUUUAAAAUAAAAAGGAAUGGGGAUUUAUGUCAGUAGUAGAGUGUCCCUGGGUUCAAUCCCCAGUACAAAAAAAAAAAAAACUUAUCUCCCAGUACAUUGUGCUGGUAUAGAAUAUCAGCAAUCAAAUUAGAAACAACUAUAAAUCUCUUGAAAAAUCAGCCAAUGUAGACAAAGGAGACUUGCUUAAAUAGUAACCUGUUCUUAAUCAGAACUAUCCCAUUGACUUAUAAAGAAUCUGCAUAAUUCUAUUUAACCCUGUUCUAGAGUUUAUAUUUAAGUAAGCUUGUUAAUCUGC